CUUGUUUAAUUGAAUGUGCACGUCGGGAGCACACCCUCGGUAAUCGCUCAACCCCCAUUUGGUGAGCCGGUGACCUGUUGUAGACAGCUGUGGUCUGCUGUAGCUAGCCUCUUAAACGUUAUCGCAAUUGCGUGCUAGCGAGCAUGUCUACAACAACGUAACUCACACCAUAACAGGCCCGGGCAUUUAAUUCUUCAAAUGGAAUGUGUAGUGAGUACAUUUGUUUCGUAAUAUGUGUUCGAUCUUUUUGUACCCUCACACAAGUCACGUGAGAAUCGAACAUCAAUAGACCUGAGGAAAGGAAAGUACUCAUGCGUGUCACAGUAUCGAGCAGGUGAAUGUUAUGACAACUAAAAGCAGGCCAGAAAUCUAUCUCGACCACCUUGUGAACAGAUCGUCUAUGACUCUAUGUUAUCAUAUCCAGUCUAUGCCUACCACCAACAAUACUUCAUCACAGUAUCGAGCAGGCGAAUGUUAUGACAACUAAAAGCAGGCCAGAAAUCUAUCUCGACCACCUUGACUCUAUGUUAUCAUAUCCAGUCUAUGCCUACCACCAACAAUACUUCAUCACAGUAUCGAGCAGGCGAAUGUUAUGACAACUAAAAGCAGGCCAGAAAUCUAUCUCGACCACCUUGACUCUAUGUUAGCAUAUCCAGUCUAUGCCUACCACCAACAAUACUUCAACACAGAUUCGGACAGUAACGUUGCAUUACUAUGAAGUCUAGAAACUUCAAGACUGGGCAAUGAAACUCUAUUGUACCACAACAGCUGUCAUGACAGUCAACACGUUAAGUAGUCGAUAUAUCAAGUCGACCGAAGAAUGUAGGCCUGGUGCGUGCAGUGUAAUUAUAAAUCUCGUAUCAAAAAAGAUCCACUUGGAAUGUUUCGCAACAGCCAUGACAACAAGAACCUUUGGUUCGUAUAUCUUAUAGUCAGCAGACUUGGUGAGAAAAAUAAUUCUAAUAAGGAUAUAACGAAGCGAUGAGCUAUGAAAGUAAUUUUCGUUUUCACGCUGAUAUGCAACAAUGAAAUGUAGUUUUAGUCAGAUUAAAAACAACAACAAAAUUUUUAAAAACAGCAAAAUAGACGGAUAUCACUUUGUACUUGUCUCAAAAGGCCGUACCAUGUACAAGUUUCCUGCUUUAAUGGUUUUGUGUUUGUCGCUGAUACAUGUUUGGACCGUGUUCGUAGUAAGGAGAGAACUGAAAUCAAGUCUUCCAGGAAAGAUCCACACAAAUACUAAAUGUCAGCACAGGAAUGAAAUAGCUUCACAACCCUAACCAAUUAAAAAUGUGUAUCUGAAGUACUGCCAAGAUUGACCAUCUCAACAACUCUCCAACAAAAAGACCAACCAUCCAAGGUACUCAAAAUAAUGAAAAUGAAAAGUAUAUCUCAAGUCAUAAGCUCUAAUGAGGAUCCAUGAUCAAGAGAAAGAUUCAUUUGAGAUUAUCAAUGACCAUCAAGAAGUUUAAAACUAUUAGAUUCCUACUCACUAAGGCAGUCCAAGGUGCUCAUCAUGAAAGAAAGAUUACCCCUUAUCUGUAUAAUCUACAGGUCUGUAUAAUAUCUACUACAAGUCCAGAGAUCCGAAGGAAACAUCAACCUUCUCCUCACCAGAGUAUGGAACUUAUUGAACAAAAUUAUUGUGUCUCCAGUGUUUUCAAUCAAGUUUGCAAUCCCACUGUUAUCUCAUACAACUUUGUAUAUUUAUGGUAAUGUUGUGCAGGAAAUAUUUCACCAAUAGAUUAAAUAAUUUGAUAUGAUUUAGGUAAGGCUGAUGACAUUCAUUGUUAACUCUUUCAGUGCAAAUUAUUUUGAUUGAAAAAAUGCAAAAAAAAAUUGGCAAAGGAGUAGAGUUACCUAAACUAACAUAACUAUUUUUUUUUUAUCUUAUUACAAAUAUUGGAUUUUAUUGUAAAGAAAAAGGAAUUGGCUACAAAAGUGUAAUAAAAAAUAGUUAAUUUAAAAUAAAUAUUUCUUUUAGCAAGUUCAAACUGAGUACGAAAAACAAAAUAUAUAAAAAAAAAUUUUAUUGAAAAAUCGAUUUACUGAAAGAUUGAGCCUUGGGAUUCUUUAUCUAAUCCAUAAAUAUUUACAAAUUAUCACAAACCUAAACACUAUAUGUCACUUUAAAUUUAAUGAAAGAAAUAUUUUUAUUUUAACAUUUUUGAUCCUUUGAUAUAUACCAAAAAAAGCAGAACCACUAUUAAUACUAUGUUGUCCCUUUUUUGUUUUAAAAGUCUUGGACCUGUAUCCGAUUUACAACCAGAACAAAGAAAAUAAAAACUAGAGAGAGAAAUUACAAGUUUAACAUUAUAAAGACAGUGAAACAAAUAUUGUACUCGCAGAGAGUAAUGCCUCACUUGCCAUCGCUAUCGAAACUACUCUCUAAAGCUAUGUUGAGAGUAAUGCCACACUGAAAGAGUGUAAUAUAAAUGUAAGACAUUAACAUGUUUGAGUCUUCACUAUAAGGUCGACUUAAGACAAAAUUUCCUUUACUCUUAUUAUGCUAACAACUAAAUGUUUCUGUAAACUGAAUUUGUACAAAAUUAUUUUGAAUGUACAAUAGGCAUAAGGGAAUGCUCUUCACCAAACAAAGGAGAUGUUACAAACUAAAAUAGUUUCUUCUUAUCUCCCUUAACCCCUUUUUGCUAUUUUCUUUUUGUUGGAAUGGACACUAAUUCAAGGAAAAGAUAGAAUCUCAAAAUAAUUGUAAACUGUUGGAAGUGUGACAUUUUAUUUCAAAAGUAAAAAAUAUUUAAGUGCUAUUUUUAUAGAAGCAUAUAUGCCAGAUGCUACUUUAUUUGUACUAGUCUUUUAUAGCUAUUGUUACUGAGUUUGUUUAGAAUGAUUUUUUUUUU